rnacentral:rRNA from 1 species
CGGUGUGUACAAGGCCCGGGAACGCGAAGAACCUUACCAGGUCUUGACAUCCUCUGACAACUCUAGAGAUAGAGCGUUCCCCUUCGGGGGACAGAGUGACAGGUGGUGCAUGGUUGUCGUCAGCUCGUGUCGUGAGAUGUUGGGUUAAGUCCCGCAACGAGCGCAACCCUUGAUCUUAGUUGCCAGCAUUUAGUUGGGCACUCUAAGGUGACUGCCGGUGACAAACCGGAGGAAGGUGGGGAUGACGUCAAAUCAUCAUGCCCCUUAUGACCUGGGCUACACACGUGCUACAAUGGAUGGUACAAAGGGCUGCAAGACCGCGAGGUCAAGCCAAUCCCAUAAAACCAUUCUCAGUUCGGAUUGUAGGCUGCAACUCGCCUACAUGAAGCUGGAAUCGCUAGUAA